GAUGAACGCUGGCGGCGUGCCUAAUACAUGCAAGUCGAGCGAACAGACGAGGAGCUUGCUCCUCUGACGUUAGCGGCGGACGGGUGAGUAACACGUGGAUAACCUACCUAUAAUACUGGGAUAACUUCGGGAAACCGGAGCUAAUACCGGAUAAUAUAUUGAACCGCAUGGUUCAAUAAUGAAAGACGGUUUUGCUGUCACUUAUAGAUGGUUCCGCGCUGCAUUAGCUAGUUGGUAAGGUAACGGCUUACCAAGGCAACGAUGGGUAGCCCACCUGGGCGGGUGAUCGGCCACACUGGAGGUGGGACACGGUCCAGGGUCCUGCGGGAGGCAGCAGUAGGGAAUCUUCCGCAAUGGGCGGAAGCAUGACGGAGCAACGCCGCGUGAGUGAUGAAGGUCUUCGGAUCGUAAAACUCUGUUAUUAGGGAAGAACAAAUGUGUAAGUAACUAUGCACGUCUUGACGGUACCUAAUCAGAAAGCCACGGCUAACUACGUG
rnacentral:rRNA from 1 species